rnacentral:rRNA from 1 species
UACGUAGGGUGCAAGCGUUGUCCGGAAUUAUUGGGCGUAAAGAGCUCGUAGGCGGUCUGUCGCGUCGGAUGUGAAAAUCCAGGGCUCAACCCUGGACCUGCAUUCGAUACGGGCAGACUAGAGUAUGGUAGGGGCAGAGGGAAUUCCUGGUGUAGCGGUGAAAUGCGUAGAGAUCAGGAAGAACAUCGGUGGCGAAGGCGCUCUGCUGGACCAUAACCGACACUCAGGGACGAAAGCUAGGGGAGCGAAUGGG